GGGGGAGGUGCAGCGGGAGGUAAUACAGUAGGGGGAGGUGCAGCGGGAGGUAAUACAGUAGGGGGAGGUGCAGCGUGAGGUAAUACAGUAGGGGGAGGUGCAGCGGGAGGUAAUACAGUAGGGGGAGGUGCAGCGUGAGGUAAUACAGUAGGGGGAGGUAAUACAGUAGGGGGAGGUGCAGCGUGAGGUAAUACAGUAGGGGGAGGUGCAGCGUGAGGUAAUACAGUAGGGGGAGGUGCAGCGGGAGGUAAUACAGUAGGGGGAGGUGCAGCGUGAGGUAAUACAGUAGGGGGAGGUGCAGCGUGAGGUAAUACAGUAGGGGGAGGUGCAGCGGGAGGUAAUACAGUAGGGGGAGGUGCAGCGGGAGGUAAUACAGUAGGGGGAGGUGCAGCGUGAGGCAAUACAGUAGGGGGAGGUAAUACAGUAGGGGGAGGUGCAGCGUGAGGUAAUACAGUAGGGGGAGGUGCAGCGGGAGGUAAUACAGUAGGGGGAGGUAAUACAGUAGGGGGAGGUGCAGCGUGAGGUAAUACAGUAGGGGGAGGUGCAGCGUGAGGUAAUACAGUAGGGGGAGGUGCAGCGGGAGGUAAUACAGUAGGGGGAGUGCUUCUCAAAUGGAAUGUUUUAUGCGUUCUCCACACUCUUGUCCUCACAAGAACGUACUCAAGAGAAAGUCCUUGGAGAAUACACCUGGAGCAUGAGUGUGGAGCACGGUAGUAAGCAUAUUGAGAAACACCCCGAGUUUUUACACUGCACCAAAUACCCUAGUUUCGUACUCCUAACUAUCCGUACACCUCUGAAGAUUCAUCACACC